GCACUAGAGCCACCAUGUUUCUUUCUGUUUGUUAGCAGAUUGACCUCUACGCAACCUUUCCACUGUUUUUCCCUUUUUGCCUUCUUUUUCCACCGUUUUGUACCCUUUUUGCCUUCUUUUUUCUUAAAUCCCUUUACUUGCAAUGAACCAUCAUUACUACUUUCUAUCUUUUUAACUUUGCUAAAUAUCUCAUUCAUUUGAGCUUAUAUAUUUAUUUAAUGUCAUUACAGAUUGAUCCAUUGCAGAUACUUUGCACGUGGAGACGGCCUGUGUCCUCACAGACACCGUUGUUUCUAUAGGCAUGAGGUGUUUCCUCACUCUUACAGAUGGCGUUACGGCACGUCACCACCACCACCACCACCACCAGCAGCUCAAUCUUCAGACACUGAGAUUGAGAGGAUUCUUGGAGCUGACGACUACGAUUUCUCGGAUGAUUCUCAUCCAGAUUCUAUAUGAUACAGUCAUCUUGGAUCUCUCUUCGUACUAUUGUUUUUUAGAAACACUGUAUAGUUGAUUUUUGACAUGUUUCACUGUUGUUUUUUUUAGUAGAACUGAUUUUGACUCAAUCUUCUCAACACUCCUACACCGUCAUUCCCAAUCACACAACCAUUCUAAUUAGACAAUUCCAGAAUAAACCCAAUAUUUCUAACAGCAUUCUUAAAUUCACUAUUAAUGAUUACGAAUUCAAAAGCUUAAAAUUAAAUGUACCUUAA